rnacentral:rRNA from 1 species
AGAAGCCCUUUGGGGUUUGAAAAACCAUUUUUGGCCAGAAAAAAAAACUUCCGGGGGUUAAUACCCCCGUGAAAACGGACGGUACCUGGCAGAAUAAGCACCGGGCUAAUUACGUGCCAGCAGCCGCGGUAUACGUAGGGUGCAAGCGUUAAUCGGAAUUACUGGGCGUAAAGCGUGCGCCGGCGGUUCGGAAAGAAAGAUGUGAAAUCCAGAGCUUAACUUUGGAACUGCAUUUUUAACUACCGAGCUAGAGUGUGUCAGAGGGAGGUGGAAUUCCGCGUGUAGCUGAAAUGCGUAGAUAUGCGGAGGAACACCGAUGGCGAAGGCAGCCUCCUGGGAUAACACUGACGCUCAUGCACGAAAGGUGGGGAGCAAACAGGAUUAGAUACCCUGGUAGUCCACGCCCUAAACGAUGUCAACUAGCUGUUGGGGCCUUCGGGUUGGUAGCGCAGCUAACGCGUGAAGUUGACCGCCUGGGGAGUACGGUCGCAAGAUUAAAACUCAAAGGAAUUGACGGGACCCGCACAAGCGGUGGAUGAUGUGGAUUAAUUCGAUGCAACGCGAAAAACCUUACCUACCCUUGACAUGUCUGGAAUCCGAAGAGAUUUGGAAGUGCUCGCAAGAGAACCGGAACACAGGUGCUGCAUGGCUGUCGUCAGCUCGUGUCGUGAGAUUUGGGUUAAGUCCCGCAACGAGCGCAACCCUUGUCAUUAGUUGCUACGAAAGGGCACUCUAAUGAGACUGCCGGUGACAACCGGAGGAAGGUGGGGAUGACGUCAAGUCCUCAUGGCCCUUAUGGGUAGGGCUUCACACGUCAUACAAUGGUCGGCAGAGGGUCGCCAACCCGCGAGGGGGAGCCAAUCCCAGAAACCCGAUCGUAGUCCGGAUCGCAGUCUGCAACUCGACGCGUGAAGUCGGAAUCGCUAGUAAUCGCGGAUCAGCAUGUCGCGGUGAAUACGUUCCCGGGUCUUGUACACACCGCCGUCACACCAUGGGAGUGGGUUUUACCAGAAGUAGUUAGCCUAACCGUAAGGGGGGCGAUACCACGGUA